CAGGACGAGCCUGACUCCUCCAUCCGAUUUUGAAAAAACUGGAGCAAGAACAUGAGAAGGUGGCCAAAUAAUACGAGCACGACAAAAAUCCAACGGGCGAUAAAGGACAAAAAUCAACCCUGUUAAGCGUCAGCAAUGUGAAAAUUAUAACCUGCCCAGUCAAGCAGAAGAUGAUGAUGAUGAUGAUGAUGGUGAUGAUGAUGAUGAUGA